GAGCCCCAGGUGGUGCGGUGAGGGGCGGGGCGGGGGCGCAUCGACCCACGGAGCCCGCGAGAACCGGGGCGUGGGGGUGUUCUGAGAGUCUCCCACGCGGGGUGCGGGCCUGGCGGGCUCCGUGCUGCCGCUCGUCCCUUCGGGAGGGCUGUUUCACAGGAAAACAGCAUUAAGUAACCCACCAAGCAGCUUCAGACCGAUGUGUGCCCCAGCACCCCAGCCCAAUCUUCCCUCUGCUCCCCUCCUGCCUUCCCACCCCUGUGGCACAGGCUCUGCCCGGUAAAAUGUGUGCAAAUUGGAGAAGCAAUGGUGUAUUUAUAUGUAAGGAAAGUCUGAAACAUUCUCCGUACCUUUUCAUUUGGCUAAACAUGUCUGUAAUGUCUACCAGUAACAAGGAAUCAGUACCAGCUGCAGUCUUAGGAGGCUGAAGGCAGCAAACUCAAUGCCUGGAUGUUCACGUGGAGACCAAGACAGGUUGUGGCCAGAACAUUUCAAAGAACAACCUCAAGCUUUGACAUUCCUGUGGUCACAUUUACAAAGACAAUACAAUUAAGCCCAACAUGUGAAGGAACAGAAAUUAAGUCCAACUGUUCAGCACUGAGCCACCUCCUUGCCUGGAGGAAAAUAAAGAGAAGCCCCACAACAAAACUCUCUCAACAUCAGACCUUUGCCCUUCAUUGAAGUGGCAACUUAGGGAACCACAGUUUUCCUUAGCAGAACAUGUAUCUUUAAAGUGAAGGCCAACUGUCCUCAAAUAUUCACUCCAGUACUUUACUUUAAGAUCCAGUUUAUUGUCUGAAAUUGG